UACGUAGGCAGCAAGCGUUGUUCGGAAUUACUGGGCGUAAAGAGUGUGUAGGCGGUGCUCUAAGUUCGGUGUGAAAUCUCCCGGCUCAACUGGGAGGGUGCGCCGGAAACUGGGGUGCUGGAGCGCGGGAGAGGAAAGCGGAAUUCCGAGUGUAGAGGUGAAAUUCGUAGAUAUUCGGAAGAACACCAGUGGCGAAGGCGACUUACUGGACACAUAUUGACGCUGAGGUGCGAAAGCGUGGGGAGCGAACAGG
rnacentral:rRNA from 1 species